rnacentral:rRNA from 1 species
UCUCCUGGAAAGGAGCGUCAGAGAGGGUGAGAACCCCGUAAGCUCUUGCUUUGUUGCCUCGCGAGGUGCUUUCGAAGAGUCGGGUUGCUUGGGAAUGCAGCCCAAAUUUGGUGGUAAAUCCCAUCUAAGGCUAAAUAUUGGCGAGAGACCGAUAGCGAACAAGUACCGUGAGGGAAAGAUGAAAAGAACUUUGAAAAGAGAGUUAAAAAGUGCUUGAAAUUGUUGAGGGGGAAGCGUUUGAAUGCUAGAGUGCGCCUAGGCUUAUGGGUUCUUAACGGAGCUCUGUAUGUGCUAGGUGCUGGCCAGCAUGGGUUGGGCGAGUGGGAUAACAGCUGGGGUUGUUACCCGGUCUAUGCCACUUGCUUGACCAAGGCGUGAAGGCUGCUCUUGUCCUUCGGGAACUGCAGUCUCAAGAUGCUGGCAAAAGGCUUUCAACCGACCCGUCUUGAAACAGGACCAAGGAGUCUAACAUGUAUGCGAGUUGGUGGGUGGAAAACCCAUGAAGCGUAAGGAAACUGACUGGUGGGAUGGCCUGUGCCUGCACCAUCGACCGACCAUGCGUUUCUGCAAAAGGUUUGAGUGCGAGCAUACCUGUUGGGACCCGAAAGAUGGUGAACUAUGCCUGAGCAGGGUGAAGCCAGGUGAAAACCUGGUGGAGGCUCGUAGAUGUGCUGACGUGCAAAUCGCUUUUCGGACUUGGGUAUAGGGGCGAAAGACUAAUCGAACCAUCUAGUAGCUGGUUUCCUCCGAAGUUUCCCCAGGAUAGCUGGAGCUUAAUCGGAGUACGGUCAGGUAAAGCGAAUGAUUAGAGCUUCGGGGGAUGUAACAUCCUUCACUUAUUCUCAAACUUUAAAUAGUCCGGACGUCCAGGUUGCUUAAUUGAACCUGCGGCAUUAUAUCCGAGCUCCAAGUGGGCCAUUU